rnacentral:lncRNA from 1 species
AUGUAUAAAAACUACAGCAUUAUGUGCAAACACUAUUACGUUUUCUGCAAAUACCGCUUACAUUAUGUGCAAACACCGAUUACGCUAUGUGCAAAUGCCUAUUAUAUUAUGUCCAAACAUCUAUUACGUUAGGUGCAAACACCUAUUACGUUAUGUCCAAACACCAAUUACGUUAUUUGCAAACACCUAUUACGUUCUGGUAAACGCUUUUUUGACACAGAUUAAAACAAAACGCAUCAGUGAUAUACACUUUGAAAAUUAAGAAA